rnacentral:rRNA from 1 species
CAAUAGCGUAUAUUAAAGUUGUUGCAGUUAAAAAGCUCGUAGUUGAAUUUCUGGUGGGGACGGCGGUCCGCCGCCUUUGUGUGGUGUGUACUUGUGUGUUCCCCGCCAUACUUGUGGAGUGUGUGGGUGGUCCUUAAUUUGGGCUGCUUGCAUGUGUCUCUGCAUCGAUUACUGUGAACAAAUUAGAGUGUUUAAAGCAGGCUUGUUAGCUUGAAUACAUUAGCAUGGAAUAAUGAUAUAGGACUUUGGUGCUAUUUCGUUGGUUGUGUACCAAGGUAAUGAUUAAUAGGGAUAGUUGGGGGUAUUCAUAUUUGAUUGUCAGAGGUGAAAUUCUUGGAUUUAUUAAAGAUGAACAACUGCGAAAGCAUUUACCAAGGAUGUUUUCAUUAA